rnacentral:other from 1 species
AUCACCCUGCGGUGUUCGUGAGUUUGGCCGCUUGUUUUGAGCCAACACCUUAACAUUGGGAGCCCGGACUUCAGUUGUGGCUUGUAGGCCUACAGAGAUGGGACACAAAAAGCAAUUGGGAGGGCACCCACCUGCCGAGCGCAGGUUCAAAACGACGGCAUCACGGCAUGGUGGGGUUAGA